UGGGGUGUGGCUCAGGGGUAGAGCGCUCCGCUCGCCUGGCAUGCUCGCCUGGCAUGCGUGAGGCACUGGGUUCGAUCCUCAGCACCACAA
rnacentral:tRNA from 1 species